UACGUAGGGCGCAAGCGUUGUCCGGAAUUAUUGGGCGUAAAGAGCUCGUAGGCGGCUUGUCACGUCGGGGUGUGAAAGCCCGGGGCUUAACCCCGGGUCUGCAUUCGAUACGGGCAGGCUAGAGUGUGGUAGGGGAGAUCGGAAUUCCUGGUGUAGCGGUGAAAUGCGCAGAUAUCAGGAGGAACACCGUGGCGAAGGCGGAUCUCUGGGCCAUUACUGACGCUGAGGAGCGAAAGCGUGGGGAGCGAACAGG
rnacentral:rRNA from 1 species